UGGGGAAUUGUUCGCAAUGGGCGCAAGCCUGACGACGCAACGCCGCGUGGAGGAUGAAGGUCUUCGGAUUGUAAACUCCUGUUGCUCGGGACGAACGGCUCUGACCUAAUACGUCUGAGUUUGACGGUACCGGGUGAGGAAGCCCCGGCUAACUCUGUGCCAGCAGCCGCGGUAAUACAGAGGGGGCAAGCGUUGUUCGGAAUUACUGGGCGUAAAGGGCGCGUAGGCGGCCUGCUAGUCGAACGUGAAAUCCCUGGGCUCAACCCAGGAACUGCGUCCGAUACUGGCAGGCUUGAAUUCGGGAGAGGGAUGCGGAAUUCCAGGUGUAGCGGUGAAAUGCGUAGAUAUCUGGAGGAACACCGGUGGCGAAGGCGGCAUCCUGGACCGAGAUUGACGCUGAGGCGCGAAAGCCAGGGGAGCAAACGG
rnacentral:rRNA from 1 species